rnacentral:rRNA from 1 species
GACGAACGCUGGCGGCGUGCUUAACACAUGCAAGUUGAGCGCUGAAGGUUGGUACUUGUACCAACUGGAUGAGCAGCGAACGGGUGAGUAACGCGUGGGGAAUCUGCCUUUGAGCGGGGGACAACAUUUGGAAACGAAUGCUAAUACCGCAUAAAAACUUUAAACACAAGUUUUAAGUUUGAAAGAUGCAAUUGCAUCACUCAAAGAUGAUCCCGCGUUGUAUUAGCUAGUUGGUGAGGUAAAGGCUCACCAAGGCGAUGAUACAUAGCCGACCUGAGAGGGUGAUCGGCCACAUUGGGACUGAGACACGGCCCAAACUCCUACGGGAGGUAGCAGUAGGGAAUCUUCGGCAAUGGACGAAAGUCUGACCGAGCAACGCCGCGUGAGUGAAGAAGGUUUUCGGAUCGUAAAACUCUGUUGGUAGAGAAGAACGUUGGUGAGAGUGGAAAGCUCAUCAAGUGACGGUAACUACCCAGAAAGGGACGGCUAACUACGUGCCAGCCGCCGCCGUAA